AUUGAACGCUGGCGGCAGGCCUAACACAUGCAAGUCGAGCGGAGCGGCGGACGGGUGAGUAAUGCCUAGGAAUAUGCCUGGGAGUGGGGGAUAACGUCCGGAAACGGGCGCUAAUACCGCAUACUAUCAGAUGAGCCUAGGUCGGAUUAGCUAGGUGGUGGGGUAAAGGCCUACCAAGGCGACGAUCCGUACCUGGUCUGAGAGGAUGAUCAGUCACACUGGAACUCAGACACGGUCCAGACUCCUACGGGAGGCAGCAUUGGGGAAUAUUGGACAAUGGGCGAAAGCCUGAUGCAGCCAUGCCGCGUGUAUGAAGAAGGCCUUCGGGUUGUAAAGUACUUUCAGCGGGGAGGCGUUACCCGCAGAAGAAGCACCGGCUAACUCCGUGCCAGCAGCCGCGGUAAUUC
rnacentral:rRNA from 1 species